rnacentral:rRNA from 1 species
UUCCGGUUGAUCCCGCCGGACCUGACUGCUAUCGGAUUGAUACUAAGCCAUGCGAGUCAUUGUAGUAAUACAAGGCAGACGGCUCAGUAACGCGUAGUCAACCUAACCUAUGGACGGGAAUAACCUCGGGAAACUGAGUAUAAUGCCCGAUAGAACAUUAUGCCUGGAAUGGUUUAUGUUCCAAAUGAUUUAUCGCCGUAGGAUGGGACUGCGGCCUAUCAGUUUGUUGGUGAGGUAAUGGCCCACCAAGACUAUUACAGGUACGGGCUCUGAGAGGAGUGGCCCGGAGAUGGGUACUGAGACACGGACCCAGGCCCUAUGGGGCGCAGCAGGCGAGAAAACUUUGCAAUGUGCGAAAGCACGACAAGGUUAAUCCGAGUGGUUUCUGCUAAAGGAACCUUUUGUCGGUCCUAGAAACACCGAUGAAUAAGGGGUGGGCAAGUUCUGGUGUCAGCCGCCGCGGUAAAACCAGCACCUCAAGUGGUCAGGAUGAUUAUUGGGCCUAAAGCAUCCGUAGCCGGCUUUGUUAGUUUUCGGUUAAAUCUGUACGCUUAACGUACAGGCUGCCGGGAAUACUGCAGAGCUAGGGAGUGGGAGAGGUAGACGGUACUCGGUAGGAAGGGGUAAAAUCCUUUGAUCUAUUGAUGACCACCUGUGGCGAAGGCGGUCUACCAGAACACGUCCGACGGUGAGGGAUGAAAGCUGGGGGAGCAAACCGGAUUAGAUACCCGGGUAGUCCCAGCUGUAAACUAUGCAAACUCAGUGAUGCAUUGGCUUGUGGCCAAUGCAGUGCUGCAGGAAGCCGUUAAGUUUGCCGCCUGGGAAGUACGUACGCAAGUAUGAAACUUAAAGGAAUUGGCGGGGGAGCACCACAAGGGUGAAGCCUGCGGUUCAAUUGGAUUCACGCCGGGA